GCUUCAUCACACUGCUGCAGGCAGUGUUUCAACACAGGAUGCCUCUCUCAGGCUGCUGGAUGAGGAUCUUUGUCAUUGUAGUGGCAAAUUGCAUCGUUGCAGUGUGCAGAGGAGAUUCUGUUCAUCAAACGGAAUCCAAUGUGAUCAGUACUGAAGGGGAGAUGGUGACUCUCGCCUGUGCAUAUGAGACGGCAGGCAAUCCUUAUCUUCUCUGGUAUAAACAGCAACCAAACAGUGUGCCCACUUACUUACUAGGCAGGGGCAAGUUUGGAUCUGGCCAUAACGGCACUGAGUUCAGUGAGAGAUUCAACUGCACCUUCUCCUCCAGCUCUGUUCCUCUGACAAUCAGGAAUCUGCAAGUGUCUGACUCUGCUGUCUACUACUGUGCCCUGCAGCCCACAGCCUUGCAAACAUGUUUGAAGGGUUCAGUUCAAGCUGUAUUUGUUUUUUGGAAAUGA